UUUCCGUAGGUGAACCUGCGGAAGGAUCAUUACUGAGUGAGGGCCCCUCGGGGUCCAACCUCCCACCCGUGUUUAACGAACCUUGUUGCUUCGGCGGGCCCGCCUCACGGCCGCCGGGGGGCAUCUGCCCCCGGGCCCGCGCCCGCCGAAGCCACCUGUGAACGCUGUCUGAAGUAUGCAGUCUGAGACAAUUAUUAAAUUAAUUAAAGCUUUCAACAACGGAUCUCUUGGUUCUG
rnacentral:misc_RNA from 1 species